ensembl:snoRNA
AUAGCACCUUCACAGGUCCUCCCCUGACAUUGGGGCCAGGAUUUGGUAGCUGGUGCUGAAAGAAAAUCCUUGAUUGCAUCCUGGCCCUGGAACCGUGCCAGGGGCAGCUGUCACUCAGUGGGAGAGAA